rnacentral:rRNA from 1 species
AGAGAGUAAACAGUACGUGAAACCGCAUAAAGGUAAACGGGUGGCGUCAAGCUGCAAGCCUGGAGGAUUCAGCCGGUCAUUUUGUAGGGUAUACGUCCUGUGUAUCCCAGUCGGUGAUAGUGAGUAGUCUGCUGGCAACGGCGGGCCUGGCCGCAAGGCUAGGAUGUACGUUCCACUUGUUCGGUGGUGUACGCUGCUCGGCUAUUGGACUGGAUGGCCAGUGCACUUCCUCCAUUAAGGUGAACACCACGACCGGUGGAACUGCCAGUCUGGUAUAGCCAAGUUGUGUCUAUUCUUGCAUUCGUGUGGAUUAGGCUCAAUCACAGGCAGAUUCGGUGGACGGUGAGUGAACUUCGGUUUGCUCAUGUUAUCGGUCACUGGCUGUCAACGGGUUCGUCCGCUGAGGUUGCAGUCCUUGGUGGGUGGCCUGGUGGGCUUUACUGGUAAGAAUAACUGUGCAGGGCACCGGAGUUGUCGGUCUCUAAUCCGGUUGGCGCACGCGCUGCAAGUGUGUGUGGAGGUGCCAUUUCGGCCUGUCGUUGGUUGGGUCUGAUUGCCGUGUCGCCUGCGAAAAGUAGGUCCGGUAGUGGCUCGGCUACGGUUGGUGCAUGGAGUGGUGCUUCUCUGUCAGUCGGUGUGGACCCAAUAGUCUGUGGUGUAGUGGUAGACGAGCUACCCGACCCGUCUUGAAACACGGACCAAGGAGUCUAACAA